rnacentral:rRNA from 1 species
UACAGAGGGGGCGAGCGUUGUUCGGAAUUACUGGGCGUAAAGGGCGCGUAGGUGGCCUGUUAAGUCGAACGUGAAAUCCCCGGGCUCAACCCGGGAACUGCGUCCGAGACUGGCAGGCUCGAAUCCGGGAGAGGGAUGUGGAAUUCCAGGUGUAGCGGUGAAAUGCGUAGAUAUCUGGAGGAACACCGGUGGCGAAGGCGGCAUCCUGGACUACUACUGACGCUGAGUGAGCGAAAGCCAGGGGAGCAAACGGG